rnacentral:lncRNA from 1 species
AGGGAAGAAGUCACCUUCGCGAGCAUGUCACCCGCAUGAUUGCAAAGCUCCCCGACGGAGCCCACCACACCGCUCAGCUCAGUCACCUGAUGUUUUCCCCGAAGGGUAGCCAAGGAGCCAAGGGAAUCUGCGUAAAAAUCACGUCAGUCAAAGCAGUCACUGUAACAUCCCAAAUUUUUCAAAUUCGGAUGUUCGCACCUUUACAUUUCUUAUGCAUAUCACCUUGAUCAUAUCUUAAAAUAUUGGUGUUUAUUAUGAUGCAUUAUUGAAAGUGUUUGAAAUGGUGUUUUGGAACGUGAUAGGUUGUUAGAAAUUGAUUCGAGAUUUUUCUAGAGUCUAAAAAUGCAUUCUAGGAUUUUAUUUGGAUUUAUUUAAAGCUUAGAAACAUUAAAACAAUUUUUACAAAUUUAUUUUCGAGUGAGAAUAAUUUUACUGGACUCCAAAUGAAAUAUAUUAUUUUACAGAAUUUUUGGGAAUUUUUCUGAAGCCAUUUGAUAUUUUAAAUGAUUUAAAUGGAAUUUCAGGUGAAUUAUAGAUCCUGAAAAGUAUUUUUUUUAAUCUUUUUCUUUUCUUCUUUUUCUCUGAAAAUACGCUUUCUCCGUAGGAAAACGUAUUCUCGGGGGAAUACGCUUUCAGUAUGCGGAAAGCGUAUUCUCGGGAGAAUACGCUUUCAGUCUCUCUCUCUCUCUCUGACAGGUGGGGCCCACCUGUCAUCUUCUCCCUCAUCUCCGCCGUCUCCAACCGCCGUCGGCGCCGCGCCCGGCCGCGCCCUCGCUCGCCUGCCCGCCUGCC